CAUUAUCAGCGUUAAGGAGGACCCGGAAGGGUCAAACAUUUCAGAGCUUCCUGAACAAGUAUGCUGAGAUGAAGUUAUCGCUGAAUCUGCCAAAAGAAAUGCUGGAAUCCCAUCACACUGGGAGGAAGGGCUCAUGCUGCAGCCAGAUGGGACCUCAGGAGCUGCUGGAGCCACGUGGAUUUGAACAGAGCACAGAUUCCCAGGUCACUGCCCCCGCCCCGCCUCCCAGAGUAAGCAGUUCCUCAACAACCCAAUAUCUGCAGCCACUCCUUGUAUCUCUUUCAGAAAUUUCACCUGGGUCCUUCCCUUUUCAGAAGGUACUGGCCUCUUCUUGUGUACUUGCCCAGGGAACUGUACCUUAUAAAUAGUGUCCAGCUGCCACUGCCACGGUUCCACCAGUUUUCCCAGAGCAGGUAGGAAGGGGCAAUGAAAGUGUCCAUUCUCCCUCGUCAGCCCAGGUGCCUUUCUGACUCAUAGGCCAACCACGAGGUACAAGCCCUGGGGAGGUGAGUAAUGCAUCCUUCAAACGUCUGGUAUGAACUUGAUCC